UUUGAUCCUGGCUCAGAACGAACGCUGGCGGCAGGCCUAACACAUGCAAGUCGAGCGCUACCUUCGGGUGGAGCGGCGGACGGGUUAGUAACGCGUGGGAACAUACCCUUCUCUACGGAAUAGCCUCGGGAAACUGAGAGUAAUACCGUAUACGCCCUUCGGGGGAAAGAUUUAUCGGAGAUGGAUUGGCCCGCGUUAGAUUAGAUAGUUGGUGGGGUAAUGGCCUACCAAGUCUACGAUCUAUAGCUGGUUUUAGAGGAUGAUCAGCAACACUGGGACUGAGACACGGCCCAGACUCCUACGGGAGGCAGCAGUGGGGAAUCUUAGACAAUGGGCGAAAGCCUGAUCUAGCCAUGCCGCGUGUAUGAUGAAGGCCUUAGGGUCGUAAAGCACUUUCGCCAGGGAUGAUAAUGACAGUACCUGGUAAAGAAGCCCCGGCUAACUCCGUGCCAGCAGCCGCGGUAAUAAGGG
rnacentral:rRNA from 1 species